rnacentral:rRNA from 1 species
UUGAAAGGGAAACGAUUGAAGUCAGUCGUGCUGGCGCGAAAUCAACCUUCUCGUCUUGAGAUCACAUGGCGUGGCGAGCCUCAAAACCGUCACGAAGCGUGAACUCUUGGUGAAAUGGAGCACUUUCGUGUCCGCUGGUUAACAUCAAUUUCGAACGUCAUAAAAAGGCUGGAGGGAUGUGGCUCCUUCGGGAGUGUUAUAACCUUUAGCGGAAUGUGGUGUUCGGGAUUGAGGAUUGCAACGAAUACCUUUAGGGCUGUUCCACCUGGCUUCUCUUUGGUAUCCUGGUGACGACAGCUUGCUGACGUCGUUAGGAUUCGCCUUUGAACAGGCUAGAGUGUGGGCAAAUUCGUUAAGGAUGUUGACGUA